rnacentral:rRNA from 1 species
AGAGUUUGAUCCUGGCUCAGGAUGAACGCUGGCGGCGUGCCUAAUACAUGCAAGUCGUGCGGAAAGGCCACUUCGGUGGUACUCGAGCGGCGGACGGCAGAGUAACGCGUAGGAACAUACCCCAAACUGAGGCAUAACUGCUCGAAAGAGCAGCUAAUACCGCAUGUGAUCUUCGGAUUAAAGCUUCGGCGGUUUGGGAAUGGCCUGCGUCCGAUUAGCUAGUUGGUGAGGUAAAUGCUCACCAAGGGCUUCGAUCGGUAGCUGGUCUGAGAGGAUGAUCAGCCUGACUGGAACUGAGAACGGUCCAGACUCCUACGGGAGGCAGCAGUAGGGAAUUUUCCACAAUGGGCGAAAGCCUGAUGGAGCAACGCCGCGUGCAGGAUGAAUGCCUUCGGGUUGUAAACUGCUUUUAUUAGUGAAGAAUAUGACGGUAACUAAUGAAUAAGGGUCGGCUAACUACGUG